rnacentral:rRNA from 1 species
CUACGAAGGGGGCUAGCGUUGUUCGGAAUCACUGGGCGUAAAGCGCGCGUAGGUGGACUAAUCAGUUGAGGGUGAAAUCCCGUGGCUCAACCUCGGAACUGCCUUCAAUACUGUUAGUCUUGAGACCGAGAGAGGUGAGUGGAAUUCCUAGUGUAGAGGUGAAAUUCGUAGAUAUUAGGAAGAACACCAGUGGCGAAGGCGGCUCACUGGCUCGGUACUGACGCUGAGGUGCGAAAGCGUGGGGAGCAAACAGGAUUAGAUACCCUUGUAGUCC